UUCAUUCGAUAUAGUAAACAAUGUUGAGCAAAACAUCUCUGUUUUUCUUUGUUUAUUCUAAAGUGCAAGGAACAUUACAACAAAAUGAGUAGCUUCCGGGAGAAGUUGCUCAGUAACCUGGAGAAAGUGAACGAAAGCGCAAUUCGACAGCAGCAUUCGACAAAAACAGAUGACGAAAUCGAUGAUGUGUUGUUUAAAAAUUAUCGGCAAAAGCUAUGUUCCAGUAAUGCAAAAUUGAAGGAAGUAAUCGAAAAUUCCAAGAAAACUGAUUCCUAUCAGUUCAUUCCCCAGUUUCACUUCGAACUACCGAAGAACAGUGACAGCCUGGCGCAGAAGCUUCGGGAGGAGGCGAGAACGUUGUUCCUCCAGAAGCGCAGCAAAGAAUUGCUUGAUAAUAAUGAGCUCAAAUUGUUGUGGAGUUUGCUGGAGAAGCACCAUUCCCCGCCAAUGAUGGGCGAGGAACAGUACAUAAAUUAUGAAAACUAUUGCAAAGUUGCUGAGAUCGCAGGUGAAAAAUUCAAACGUUAUUUGACUGCUUCGACAUUUGCGAGACUGGUGGUUUCCAGCAGCUAUCCUGGAAAGAUUAGUGUGAUGUCUUUGUUCAACUAUGCAAUGAGGAAGGUUUGGCUGCAACAGACACGAAUUGGACUUUCUCUGUAUGAUUAUACUGGACAGGGGUAUUUGAACGAAUCCGAUCUGGAGUCAUACAUCCUGGAAUUGAUUCCAACCUUUCCCCAAUUGGAAGGACUUGAAAAAUCGUUCCACAGCUUUUACGUUUGUACCACGGUGAGGAAAUUUUUCUUUUUCCUGGACCCGCUUCGUACGGGUAGAAUUCGGAUCAGAGACAUUCUGACCUGUAGCUUCCUUGAUGAUCUGUUGGAACUACGAGACGAAGAAAUACCAAAAGAUGCCCAAGAAAUGAACUGGUUUUCUGCUCCUUCCGCCCUUAGUGUAUAUGGGCACUAUCUCAACCUGGAUAAGGAUCACAACGGAAUGCUCAGCAAGAAAGAGCUCAUCGGUUACGGAUCCGGAACACUCACUCCAAUUUUCUUGGACCGUGUCUUUGCCGAAUGUCUCACGUAUGAUGGAGAGAUGGACUAUAAAACCUAUCUUGAUUUCGUGCUCGCUUUGGAGAACCGGUCGGAACCACAAAGUCUCCACUAUCUGUUCCGCAUAUUGGAUGUGGAGCACAAUGGGUACUUGACUGCGUUCACGCUGAACUAUUUUUUCAAGGGAAUCCAAGAUGAGAUUUCAGCACACCGGGCGGAACCGGUGAACUUUGCGGACGUGAAGGAUGAAAUCUUUGAUAUGGUUAAACCUGCCGAUCCGACUAAAAUUACGCUUAAAGAUCUGAUCAACAGCGGCCAUGGCGAGACAGUUGUUUCGAUUCUCAUUGAAUUCCACAAGUUCUGGGCCUAUGAAAACCGGGAGGCGAUGGUAACUGAUUCGACCGCUAGUGAUGAAACGCACAAUUUAUGAUAUUUAAUGCAGCGGAAGGAUAGCGACGAGCUGUUUACUGCCUUUUGAUUUCGUGCGGAGAGAUUCUCUGACAAUAAAUCAAAAUAGCUACGUCCACGCAACAAUCAUCAGCGAUGGAGAUCGAUCCACGGUCGAAACAAGAUCGAUUUAUCCAUACAACUGCUCUGCUCUGCAAGACACAUCGGGAUGCUGUUCUAUAAAUAACUCAACAAUGAUAAUAUCAACUGUCUCCGCUGUCCGGUGGUCUAACUGGAUAAUGGAAGAACAGAAAGAAUACUCUUACGCCUAAAUGGCUACUGUGUAAAUGUACCAUAUGCAAUGGUAUAGAAGGAAUACUGGCGAAUGGCAACUGUGUAAUGUGCUAUAAUUAUAGAUAUGAUAACAAUGUGACAUGUACACGAUUAAAAUUCGGCUCUGUUACAGC